UACAGAGGGGGCAAGCGUUGUUCGGAAUUACUGGGCGUAAAGGGCGCGUAGGCGGCCUUCUAAGUCGAACGUGAAAUCCCUGGGCUCAACCCAGGAACUGCGUCCGAUACUGGAAGGCUUGAAUCCGGGAGAGGGAUGCGGAAUUCCAGGUGUAGCGGUGAAAUGCGUAGAUAUCUGGAGGAACACCGGUGGCGAAGGCGGCAUCCUGGACCAAUAUUGACGCUGAGGAGCGAAAGCGUGGGGAGCGAACAGG
rnacentral:rRNA from 1 species